AGGCAAAGUCAGUAAAGACGGUAAAACUGAGUAAGAUUUUAUUGAUAAGUAAAAAGUUUUACACAUUAGCAACACUACAAUUCGAAAGUGACGUCACAGCUUGCGUGCUUGUUGAAUCUUAGUGUUUGUAUAUUUUUGUUCAGUAGUCAUUGUAAAUACACAAACGAAAUUCAUCCAAAAGUGAAAGAUAACAAAUAUUGUUAUAUCUUAAAUAUUGUCUGACGUGUUUUAUGCCCUUCGUAGUGUGUGAUAAAUGAAAUACAAUAAAAAUAAGUUAUUAAAAGUGAUAAAAGCAAACUUUAUACCGACAAGAAAAGGUAGUAUGCUAUUAGUACACAAUGGAUUUGCUUUCCGUUUAAAAAAUAAACUGGCUUAUGGGAAGAAGCAGUGGUAUUGCACUUCAAGAACCAAGACUGGCUGUCAAGUCGAUGUUACUACCAUAUUUCAGGAUGCUAAAAUUGUUGUGAACAGAGUCAGGAAUAAACACAACCAUCCUGCACCUGGAUUUUACCGUCGAAAUGAUGGUUCAUUUAAGGUUGUGUGAAUAUAACAUUUGAAUUACUGGCUUGUAUAGACACAGUAACAAUAAUGACUAAUAAGUUAUGGUAAUUGGUUCUUAAUUAAAUGUUUUUUUUUGUCGGACAACUCUAAAAUUAACAAAAAAAUAUUCUAUUGGGUGAGUUACUAACUACGACUUACCAAAUUGCUCAAAACAAACUUACUAAGACUGAAUUUUAUCCUCUACCUCACAGUAAUACCUGAUAUUUUUGAUGUAUUUAUUGCUUAUAUUUUUUACAGUUGUAUAAGAGAUUUAGAAAUAAUUAUUUACUUAUUACUUUUGUAUUGUAAGAAAUCUUACAGUCUAAGGGUAUGUAAGACUGGAUCAAUUGAAAUAUAUAUGUGCUUGUAUUUUAUAAAGGGAAGCUAUGUAUCAUGUAUUUCAAAUUUUAUUUAAUUCUGUAAUUUACAUUUAGUGAUAAUUUUUAUUCCACUACAUUGUUUAUGUCUAAGAUAUGACUGAUUUGAAGUUUAAAUGAAGACUGAAUAGUGUAAUCUACCUCAUUUUGUGUUGGCAUAAAUAAAGACUGUUUUUUAACUAAUAUUCCUUAGAUGUUUAAGAACUCAAUAUAAUAAUUAAAAAUCUUUUUUUUCCGCAUUUUUAAUAUUUAACUUUCUUUAUAAAUAACAAUAUCCCUAAAUUAGGUUUAAUUGCAAUGCCAUUAAUCAAUAUAUUGUAAAUAGGUUUUAUGUAGUUGUUUUUAAUAAACGCUUCUUUGUCUAUUGUACUAUAAUAUUUUUUAUCUAUGGAAUUACAUAUUAAUACUGUUUCUUUUACAUAUUUCUUGUUAUUUGAAUCUUUAUUAGCUUGUGUUUAUUGUUGGUUGUUACAAUUUUUAAGAAAGAUUAUUGUUUUAUACUUAUUUACUGUAAGAAGAGAAAAAAUAUUCAAUUUGAUAAUUCCCAAAUUUUUUUUCAAUAUCAGUAGGAAAGUGCUAGAAUUUUUUGUCUCUAAUAGCUACUGAUGUUAAUUAUCAUAGCUCUUAUCUGCGACGGUGCACAAAUACGUUGUAUGAAAGAUUGGCUUUCUUAAAAUCUAUACUGCAUUUUCAUAAUUAUGAUUUAGACGUGAGAAAAAAAUAGAACAAAAUUAAUGCCACAGACUUGGAUCGUAAAUUAGCUGUGGCCGGUAACUUCUUUUAGAUUUUAAUUUUAAUUUACCACAACCAAUGAUUCUUACUUUUUCUAUUUUAUAGGAUAGUACAAUAUAAUAACCCAAUUAAAAUAAGUCUAUAAUUACCCGGACUACUUUCCACAUGUCUUGAUAGUUAAUGUGAAAAUAAAAAUUGUUCAUAAACCAUGGAGCUAGAAUUAAAAGUUAUAUUUAUGCUUUACAUAAUGUACUAAAACCGUCAAUAAUAUUAUUACUUUACUUAGCUAAAACGUUUUUAAUAAAACUAAACACUCUCAA